rnacentral:rRNA from 1 species
AACGUAGGACGCAAGCGUUAUCCGGAGUUACUGGGCGUAAAGGGCAGGCAGGCGGGUCGAUAAGUCGGAUGUGAAAUCGUCCCUGGCUUAACCGGGAGAGUGCAUUUGAGACUGUCAACCUGGAGGGCAGCAGAGGAGCGUGGAAUUCCGGGUGGAGUGGUGAAAUGCGUAGAGAUCCGGAGGAACACCAGAGGCGAAAGCGGCGACUCGUGGGCCUGGCACCUGACGCUGAACUGCGAAAGCCAGGGGAGCGAACGGG